rnacentral:pre_miRNA from 1 species
CUCAUAUAAUUGUAUGGAAUUGGAACGUUUGCCUACGUUUGCCGUAACGGGCGCUGUUCCAACUGCAUACAAAAUUGAGUUA